UGGGGAAUUUUGGACAAUGGGCGAAAGCCUGAUCCAGCAAUACCGCGUGUGUGAUGAAGGCCUUCGGGUUGUAAAGCACUUUCAGUUGUGAAGAAAAAGUACAGGUUAAUACCCUGUGCCCAUGACGUUAGCAACAGAAGAAGCACCGGCUAACUCUGUGCCAGCAGCCGCGGUAAUACAGAGGGUGCAAGCGUUAAUCGGAAUUACUGGGCGUAAAGAGCGCGUAGGUGGUUAAUUAAGUCAUAUGUGAAAGCCCCGAGCCCAACUCGGGAACUGCAUGUGAUACUGGUUGACUAGAGUAUAGUAGAGGGAAGUGGAAUUUCCGGUGUAGCGGUGAAAUGCAUAGAUAUCGGAAGGAACAUCAGAGGCGAAGGCGACUUCUUGGGCUAUUACUGACACUGAGGCGCGAAAGCGUGGGUAGCAAACAGG
rnacentral:rRNA from 1 species